GGUGAACGCUGGCGGUAGGCCUAACACAUGCAAGUCGAACGGCAGCACAGUAAGAGCUUGCUCUUACGGGUGGCGAGUGGCGGACGGGUGAGGAAUACAUCGGAAUCUACUUUUUCGCGGGGGAUAACGUAGGGAAACUUACGCUAAUACCGCAUACGACCUACGGGUGAAGGCAGGGGAUCUUCGGACCUUGCGCGAUUGAAUGAGCCGAUGUCGGAUUAGCUAGUUGGCGGGGUAAAGGCCCACCAAGGCGACGAUCCGUAGCUGGUCUGAGAGGAUGAUCAGCCACACUGGAACUGAGACACGGUCCAGACUCCUACGGGAGGCAGCAGUGGGGAAUAUUGGACAAUGGGCGCAAGCCUGAUCCAGCCAUACCGCGUGGGUGAAGAAGGCCUUCGGGUUGUAAAGCCCUUUUGUUGGGAAAGAAAAGCAGCAGGUUAAUACCCCGCUGUUCUGACGGUACCCAAAGAAUAAGCACCGGCUAACUUCGUG
rnacentral:rRNA from 1 species